GCGCCGGUGGUGUAAGGCGAACAUCGCUGCCCGGAAAGCAGAAGAUGCUGGUUCGAGUCCCGCCUGGCGCA
rfam:Heligmosomoides polygyrus genome assembly, scaffold: HPBE_scaffold0000319